UACGGGGGGAGCAGGCGUUGUUCGGAUUUACUGGGCGUAAAGGGCGCGUAGGCGGCCAGCACAAGUCAGUUGUGAAAUCUCCGGGCUUAACUCGGAAAGGUCAACUGAUACUGUGCGGCUAGAGUGCAGAAGGGGCAACUGGAAUUCUCGGUGUAGCGGUGAAAUGCGCAGAUAUCAGGAGGAACACCAAUGGCGAAGGCAGCUCACUGGGACGGUAUUGACGCUGAGACGCGAAAGCGUGGGGAGCAAACAGG
rnacentral:rRNA from 1 species